UACAGAGGUCUCAAGCGUUUGUUCGGAUUCAUUGGGCGUAAAGGGUGCGUAGGCGGCGCGGUAAGUCGGGUGUGAAAUCUCGGAGCUUAACUCCGAAACUGCAUUCGAUACUGCCGUGCUUGAGGACUGGAGAGGAGACUGGAAUUUACGGUGUAGCGGUGAAAUGCGUAGAUAUCGUAAGGAAGACCAGUGGCGAAGGCGGGUCUCUGGACAGUUCCUGACGCUGAGGCACGAAGGCCAGGGGGAGCAAACGGGG
rnacentral:rRNA from 1 species